GCGCAUUUUCAUGUUGCCGAUUUAAAAGAAAAGCCUUUGCAUCAUAUAAGCAAUAAAAAUAAGUGCUGGACUAUUAACUCUAUACUCGCUACCGACAUUUCCAUCUUCAUGAUUAACAUCUGAGUUGCAUUCAAAUUACCAAAUUCAAAAGACCCGCCUUUGGUGAAGAGAAAAUUUGUGGUGCUUAUAUACACAUAUAUAAAGAGCUUAUAUCAGAGGAUAGACUCCUUCAUUGGGAGCCCUUUCAGUAUUUGUGAUUCUGAAUAAUAGAUCCACAACUCUGCUCAUUCUGUAGUGAACAAAUGUUGUAAUUAUAUGCUUUCGCGGAAUCAUAAAUAAGCAGUGAUAUCAAUGAGUUCCGGAUUAUUCUUUAAGAAGAAUGGAUUUCUGUGAUUCUGUUCUUAUAAAAUUCAGUGAAUAGUUUGGAUAAUGUUUUAUAUUUAAAUCGUCAUAUUAUUAAGGAAGAUCAUUUGUUGGGAUUAUAUUUAUAUGACGUCAUGGCUCAUGUGAAAUAUGUGUAUAAUAUUUUUCUUAAUUUUUGGUAACUGAAAUUAUUUAUCAAAUA